rnacentral:rRNA from 1 species
AGAGUUUGAUCCUGGCUCAGAUUGAACGCUGGCGGCAGGCCUAACACAUGCAAGUCGAGCGGAUGAGAAGAGCUUGCUCUUCGAUUCAGCGGCGGACGGGUGAGUAAUGCCUAGGAAUCUGCCUGAUAGUGGGGAACAACGUUUCGAAAGGAACGCUAAUACCGCAUACGUCCUACGGGAGAAAGCAGGGGACCUUCGGGCCUUGCGCUAUCAGAUGAGCCUAGGUCGGAUUAGCUAGUUGGUGAGGUAACGGCUCACCAAGGCGACGAUCCGUAACUGGUCUGAGAGGAUGAUCAGUCACACUGGAACUGAGACACGGUCCAGACUCCUACGGGAGGCAGCAGUGGGGAAUAUUGGACAAUGGGCGAAAGCCUGAUCCAGCCAUGCCGCGUGUGUGAAGAAGGUCUUCGGAUUGUAAAGCACUUUAAGUUGGGAGGAAGG